GGCAAGAUGGCCGAGCGGUCCAAGGCGCUGUGUUCAGGCUCGUAUUACGAUACCUCGACAUCGCAGUCUCUCUGAGGCGUGGGUUCGAAUCCCACUCUUGUCA
rnacentral:tRNA from 1 species